UACGUAGGGGGCAAGCGUUGUCCGGAAUCAUUGGGCGUAAAGAGCGUGUAGGCGGCCCGGUAAGUCCGCCGUGAAAGUCCAGGGCUCAACCCUGGGAUGCCGGUGGAAACUGUCGGGCUCGAGUCCGGAAGAGGCGAGUGGAAUUCCUGGUGUAGCGGUGAAAUGCGCAGAUAUCAGGAGGAACACCAAUAGCGAAGGCAGCUCGCUGGGACGGUACUGACGCUGAGACGCGAAAGCGUGGGGGAGCGAACAGGG
rnacentral:rRNA from 1 species